GAUGAACGCUGGCGGCGUGCCUAAUACAUGCAAGUCGAGCGAACGGACGAGAAGCUUGCUUCUCUGAUGUUAGCGGCGGACGGGUGAGUAACACGUGGAUAACCUACCUAUAAGACUGGGAUAACUUCGGGAAACCGGAGCUAAUACCGGAUAAUAUUUUGAACCGCAUGGUUCAAAAGUGAAAGACGGUCUUGCUGUCACUUAUAGAUGGAUCCGCGCUGCAUUAGCUAGUUGGUAAGGUAACGGCUUACCAAGGCAACGAUGCAUAGCCGACCUGAGAGGGUGAUCGGCCACACUGGAACUGAGACACGGUCCAGACUCCUAUGGGAGGCAGCAGUAGGGAAUCUUCCGCAAUGGGCGAAAGCCUGACGGAGCAACGCCGCGUGAGUGAUGAAGGUCUUCGGAUCGUAAAACUCUGUUAUUAGGGAAGAACAUAUGUGUAAGUAACUGUGCACAUCUUGACGGUACCUAAUCAGAAAGCCACUGCUAACUACGUG
rnacentral:rRNA from 1 species